UGUUUGAUACUGAUGUAUGUAUACAUACGCAUACUAGAGAAAAGUGCAAAAUGAGAACCUAGAAUGAACCCAGUUUGAAACACUGUAAUACAUUUGGAUGAAGAUAGAGGGUAGAAAGUCCUAAGAUCAGUGGAGCAACCCCUAAAGAUACUGAGUACAACAAAGGUCAUACAACUGCAGUCUAUUGGUGAUACUCACAGUAUUAUGAAAACAGUUGUUUCUGUUACUGUGUGCUGUCUAGCACUAUAUGGAGCCUUGUACUUACCUGGCAGACAUCACUGUGCACUAUUCAUGUUAU